rnacentral:lncRNA from 1 species
AUAUAAGGACAACCCUCUCUGCAACUGUUCUCACAACUCAGCAGAACAAGAAGGAAUCUUGGUGAUCCCAUGGGAGCUCUGGAAGGAGCUCUGACUUGUCUGUGGAUCCAGGAGAUGUGUCAGACUGGGGGGAAGGAGCAGCAUUUGCAGGUGUUCCUGUUUCCUUCGUGUUUCUGAACCUUUGGUAGAGACUUGGGUGAAGCUGUUCAGCCCCUGGAGUUGUGAAGCACCACCAGUGGUUGACCAUGAAUAUGUGGGAUGUACAUUCUUGGAGGGUUUCAGAACACAGUUGGACAAGCACUGAAUGACCUGAUCUAACCCUGAAGUUGUCUGCUUUGAACAUUUCUGUGAUUCC